CAUGCAAGUCGAGCGAAUGGAUUAAGGAGCUUGCUCUUAUGAAGUUAGCGGCGGACGGGUGAGUAACACGUGGGAUAACCUGCCCAUAAGACUGGGUAUAACUCCGGGAAAACCGGGGUCUAAUACCGGAUAACAUUUUGAACCGCUAUGGUUCGAAAUUGAAGGGCGGCUUCGGCUGUCACUUAUGGAUGGACCCGCGUCGCAUUAUCUAUUUGGUGAGGUAACGGCUCACCAGGGCAACGAUGCGUACCCGACCUGAGAGGGUGAUCGGCCACACUGGGACUGACACACGGCCCACACUCCUACGGGAGGCAGCAGUAGGGAAUCUUCCGCAAUGGAAAAAAGUCUGACAGAGCAACGCCGCGUGAGUGAUGAAGGCUUUCGGGUCAAAAAACUCUGUUGUUAGGAAAGAACAAGUGCUAUUUGAAUAAGCUGGCACCUUGACGGUACCUAACCAGAAAGCCACGGCUAACUACGUGCCAGCCCCCGCGGUAAUACGUAGGUGGCAAGCGUUAUCCGAAAUUAUUGGGCGUAAAGCGCGCGCAGGUGGUUUCUUAAGUCUGAUGUGAAAGCCCACGGCUCAACCGUGGAGGGUCUUUGGAAACUGGGAGACUUGAGUGCAGAAGAGGAAAGUGGAAUUCCAUGUGUAGCGGUGAAGUGCAUAGAGAUAUGGAAGAACACCAGUGGCGAAGGCGACUUUCUGGUCUGUAACUGACACUGAGGCGCGAAAGCGUGGAGAGCAAACAAGAUUAGAUACCCUGGUAGUCCACGCCGUAAACGAUGAGUGCUAAGUGUUAGAGGGUUUCCGCCCUUUUAGUGCUGAAGUUAACGCAUUAAAGCACUCCGCCUGGGAGAGUACGGCCCG
rnacentral:rRNA from 1 species